UUAAUUGAAGCCAAAAAGAGGCAUUUCAUUGUUAAUGAAAUAAAUGAUUCAAAAAUCCAAUUAAA
rnacentral:tRNA from 1 species